rnacentral:rRNA from 1 species
GACGAACCCUGGCGGCGUGCUUAACACAUGCAAGUCGAACGGGAAACUUUAUUUCGGUAAAGGAUCUAGUGGCAAACGGGUGAGUAACGCGUAGGCAACCUGCCCUCGGGAUGGGGACAACGGCUCGAAAGAGCCGCUAAUACCGAAUGACGUGUCUCUUUCACAUGAAAGAGACACUAAAGAUGGGUCAAACCAUCGCCUGAGGAUGGGCCUGCGUCUGAUUAGCCAGUUGGUGAGGUAACGGCUCACCAAAGCAACGAUCAGUAGCCGGUCUGAGAGGAUGAACGGCCACAAUGGGACUGAGACACGGCCCAUACUCCUACGGGAGGGCAGCAGUGGGGAAUCUUUCGCAAUGGGCGAGAAGCCUG